GUCAGUGUGGCAUAGUGGUUAGAGUGUCAGACCAAGACUUGGGAAACCAGGGUUCAAAUUCCUACUCUGCCA